rnacentral:rRNA from 1 species
GACGAACGCUGGCGGCGUGCUUAACACAUGCCAGUCGAACGGAAAGGCCCUGCUUUUGUGGGGUGCUCGAGUGGCGAACGGGUGAGUAACACGUGAGUAACCUGCCCUUGACUUUGGGAUAACUUCAGGAAACUGGGGCUAAUACCGGAUAGGAGCUCCUGCUGCAUGGUGGGGGUUGGAAAGUUUCGGCGGUUGGGGAUGGACUCGCGGCUUAUCAGCUUGUUGGUGGGGUAGUGGCUUACCAAGGCUUUGACGGGUAGCCGGCCUGAGAGGGUGACCGGCCAAAAUGGGACUGAGAUACGGCCCAGAAGGCUACGGGAGGCAGCAGUGGGGAAUAUUGCACAAUGGGCGGAAGCCUGAUGCAGAAACGCGGCGUGCGGGAUGACGGCCUUCGGGUUGUAAACCGCUUUCGCCUGUGACGAAGCGUGAGUGACGGUAAUGGGUAAAGAAGCACCGGCUAACUACGUG